rnacentral:lncRNA from 1 species
UUGGAGUCAUAGUUUUUCUCGGUUAAUUUUGCUUCUUCCUCCGUUUAGAGUUUUCAUGGUUUUGGAGUCAUGUUUGCAGUUAUGCAAAUACAUUUUCUUAGUUCGUGGGAAAAAAGUUUAAUAUGAGACACAACCUAUAGCAAAGAAGUCUUUUUUUUUUUCCCUCCUUUUUCUUCUUCUGAUGAGUUCCCUCUUUUGCAGCUUCAGUUCAGUUGGUUGACUAGCACAGUUGGUUGGUGAGAGAAACAUUGGAAAAGGUCAAUACUCUCAGGAUAAUUUCUCUUUGAAUACUAAAGACUCUUCCAGUGGUUACUGAAAGUCCAGCUGAUCAACUGUUUAAGUUAGGAUGAAAGAGGCGAAUGCGAAGAUGGUACAAGUAUAAUCGGAGUGUCGCGGCAUUUAACAAGCAAUAAUUCUACUCAACUUGCAGAAAUCGAUGAAAUGAGAGGAGAGAAGAGAUACAAGUAAUGCUGUGGCAGAGUGGCUAACACAGUUUCUAAGGUGUCUCUGAAAUUCAUUUACUUGACUCUUAGGGCAGCUGCUACAACAUUUCUAUUCGUUUACGUUAGCAUUCCCUGCUCCCUGCAACACUUGAUGUUGUCAUUGAAUGUUAUGAUAGGAUGUUAUUGUAAACUGCGAUAAUGUAAACCAAACAAUUUUAUAGAGAAGAAAAUUUGUCUCUUCUUUUAUCAUUGUGAUCAAGA